GAUGAACGCUAGCGAUAGGCUUAACACAUGCAAGUCGAGGGGCAGCAUGGUCUUAGCUUGCUAAGACUGAUGGCGACCGGCGCACGGGUGCGUAACGCGUAUGCAACUUGCCUCACAGAGGGGGAUAACCCGUCGAAAGACGGACUAAUACCGCGUACACUCCAUCUUGGGCAUCCAAGGUAGAGGAAAUGAAAUUCGCUGUGAGAUAGGCAUGCGUCCCAUUAGCUAGUUGGUGAGGUAACGGCUCACCAAGGCGACGAUGGGUAGGGGAACUGAGAGGUUGAACCCCCACACUGGUACUGAGACACGGACCAGACUACUACGGGAGGCAGCAGUGAGGAAGAUUGGUCAAUGGGCGAGAGCCUGAACCAGCCAAGUCGCGUGAAGGAUGACUGUCUUAUGAAUUGUAAACUUCUUUUAUACGGGAAUAACAAGAGUCACGUGUGACUCCCUGCAUGUACCGUAUGAAUAAGCAUCGGCUAACUCCGUG
rnacentral:rRNA from 1 species